UGUUUAGAAGAUCUUUGAACCG
rnacentral:miRNA from 1 species